rnacentral:rRNA from 1 species
UACAGAGGUCUCAAGCGUUGUUCGGAUUUACUGGGCGUAAAGGGCGCGUAGGCGGCCACUGCAAGUCGGUUGUGAAAUCUCCGGGCUUAACCCGGAAAGGUCAAUCGAUACUGCAGGGCUAGAGUGCAGAAGGGGCAACUGGAAUUCUCGGUGUAGCGGUGAAAUGCGUAGAUAUCGAGAGGAACACCUGCGGCGAAGGCGGGUUGCUGGGCUGACACUGACGCUGAAGCGCGAAAGCUAGGGGAGCGAACAGG